ensembl:lncRNA
GGGUGGGGGAACUGGCUGGUUUAGAUCAGGAGGCUCAUGGUAACAGUUGCUAUGGGGCCUGGUUAAUUCCAGAAAUUUUUGUCUUGUGACCUUGCUCUAAGGCUCCACACCUGUGACCUUGGUCUAAGCCUUCACACCUGUGACCUUGGUGUAAGUUUCCAUGCCUGUGACCUUGGUCUAAGGCUUCACACCUGUGACCUUGGGCUAAGGCUCCACACCUGUGACCUUGGGCUAAGCCUUCACACCUGUGACCUUGGUCUAAGGCUCCACACCUGUGAUCUUGGUACAGGGCUCCACAUGCUGGAUAUGAGGCGGGGGGGAGGGGGAGGGGUUCCAGGAGAAGUCAAGUCAGCCCUUCCCUGGACCAGUGAUCAAGAAAACACCAAGCAGGUGGCAGGCCCUGUGGCCCAGGAUCGACCUGGCUGCUGACCUUGCCAGUCACCCUCGCCAGCCUGGGGAGGCUCCCGCAGCCCCAGGGACUGGCAGGCCGCCCCAGCAUCCACUGUCUCAUCCCCAGGGCUGUGAAAGAAAGACACAGGUCUUCCAUUGUGUGCAAGGGAGUGUGGCUGUGGGCGGGGAGCCUCAGACAGAGCAUGUGGUGGGGGGGAUAGGCUCCCUAAUGAAACAAAGGCUUGACUGUUAGAGGAUCCCUCGCCGAGUCAUGCAUUUGGAUUGUGAGGCUUGGGUUAAGGAAAGAGCUUUCUCUGCAAGCACAACAGAUGCCUGGAAGUGACGUGCCCGCUCCAGAUGCUUGUGGGAGGCAAGACUGAAAGCCCCAGCGUGGCUAGUGGUCAGGGCCACCGCACUGCCAAGCAGGUCUUGGGAGCUGAAGACUGAAGAACGUGAGGAGAGAGGCUGUGUCCUUCACUUCAUGGAUCUGCGGGGCAACGCUGUACUACUGCGCUGAAGGAGAAGCCUAAUAGCGCCAAACCGCUGCUCAGACCCUGCAUAGUCGGAGGAACAGCUCCCAGGAACACACGAGAGGUGGCGCUGCAGAGAGGCUGGCUGGGGCACCAGCCCACCCGGGGAAAGACUGGAUCCUUGGAGUUGAGGCUCCCAAGGCCCCUAUGGACAUCCAGUGGGUAAAAGAGAUCCCAGAAGGCCUAAUGGACCCAUGCAGUGGGCUGCGCAAUCUCCCAGGCCGCUUUCUAGGGGAAAAGCAGCUUCGCCAAGUGCUGUGACAUCUCUAUCUUGAUGAAGACCCCAAGGAGGCAUUUGCGAGCAAGAUCUACCUAAGUCGCUGCAGCUCAGGCCGCACCAGAGGGUGACGAUGACCUGGGAGAGGUCUAUUCACUGCCCCUUUGCCUGCCAGCAUCUAGUCUGAGGCUUCCACAGCUUUUUUGAGGAUGUGAACUUCAUGUUGGUCAUGUUGGGGCUCUGCUGCUGGAGAUCUCUCUUGGAGCUACAUCAGUGGAGGAAAUCCAUAAGCCAGGACGAGACCCGCUGCUACCUGAGGCAGAUAGUCCUUGAAAGUGAAAGUGAAAGUGAAGUCGCUCAGUUGUGUCCAACUCUUUGUGACCCCAUGGACUGUAGCCUACAACACUCCUCUGUCCAUAGGAUUUUCCAGGCAAGAGUACUGGAGUGGGUUGCCAUUUUCUUCUCCAGAGGAUCUUCCCAACCCAGGGAUCGAACCUGGGUCUCCCACAUUGUAGCCAGAUGCUUUACCAUCUGAGACACCGGGGAAGUCUAUGCAGUCAAGAUAGUCCUUGACUGCACCCAAACCAGGUUGUUCACCAGGAUCUCAAGCUGGGCAGAGUCUUCCUGAAUGAGGAUGUGGAGGUGAAAAUAGGAGAUUUGGACUGGCAACCAAAGAUGAAUAUGUUGGGGAGCAGAAGAGCCUAUCUAAAUACCUAGUGCUUCCCUAGUAGCUCAGUGGUAAAGAAUUUGCCUCCCAAUGCAGGAGACCUGAGUUUGAUCCCUGGGUUGGGCAGAUCCCCUGGAGAAGGAAAUGGCAACCCACUCCAGUAUUCUUCCCUGGGAAAUCCCAUGGAUGGAGAAGGCAAAGAGUCGGAUGCUACUUAGCGACUAAACAACAGAUUCCUGAGGUGUAAGCAAGAAAAGGCAGCAUUUCUAGGUGGUCGUGGGGUCCACUGGGUACGUCAUGUUAGUAAGGGCAGCUCACCUUUGAGAUCUCUUGCCUAAAACUUACUGACUUCUGGAUCAAGAAGAAUGAAUGCACUGUUCCCAAGCACAUAAUUGCCUCUUCCAGAAGAUGCUGUAGGCAGACGCCACUGGUCACCUGACCGUUCAUGAGCAGCUCAAGACCAGUUUUUCUGGCUACGUCCCAGCCGAUCCCCCAUUACCUGCCCCCACUAU